UACGUAGGGUGCAAGCGUUAUCCGGAAUUAUUGGGCGUAAAGAGCUCGUAGGCGGUUUGUCGCGUCUGCUGUGAAAACUGGGGGCUCAACCCCCCAGCCUGCAGUGGGGUACGGGCAGACUAGAGUGCGGUAGGGGGAGAUUGGAAUUCCUGGUGUAGCGGUGGAAUGCGCAGAUAUCAGGAGGGAACACCGAUGGCGAAGGCAGAUCUCUGAGCCGUAACUGACGCUGAGGAGCGAAAGCAUGGGGAGCGAACAGG
rnacentral:rRNA from 1 species